rnacentral:rRNA from 1 species
UGGUAUCUUCCCCGAGGAGUUAUUCUUAUAAAAAACAACCUUAUUGAGAGGAAUUGGCAUGAAAAUACGCAAUGUAUUUUUUGUCAUCAUGAUGAAAUAAUAAAACAUUUAUUCUUUCAAUGUAAAUUAGCUCAUUCUAUAUGGUCAAUUAUUCAAAUAGCUUCUGACUUGUAUCCUCCACGUAGCGUUGCUAACAUUUUUGGCAACUGGUUACAGGGAAUUGAUUACAGAUUUAGAAUUUUUAUGAGGGUGGGAGCGCUCGUCGUUAUUUGGUCGCUUUGGUGUAGAAAUGAUAAGGUGUUCAACAAUAAAAGUACUGUUGGGGAACGUAGUAAUUUCAAAAAAUUUCCUACGCACACGCAAGAUCAUGGUGAUGCAUAG